UACAGAGGGUGCAAGCGUUGUUCGGAAUUAUUGGGCGUAAAGCGCGUGUAGGCGGCUUUGCAAGUCGGGUGUGAAAGCCCUCAGCUCAGCUGAGGAAGUGCGCCCGAAACUGCAGAGCUUGAGUACCGGAGAGGAUGGCGGAAUUCCCCAAGUAGAGGUGAAAUUCGUAGAUAUGGGGAGGAACACCGGUGGCGAAGGCGGCCAUCUGGACGGAUACUGACGCUGAGACGCGAAAGCGUGGGGAGCAAACAGG
rnacentral:rRNA from 1 species